rnacentral:rRNA from 1 species
GACGAACGCUGGCGGCGUGCUUAACACAUGCAAGUCGAACGGAAAGGCCCUGCUUUUGCGGGGUGCUCGAUUGGCGAACGGGUGAGUAACACGUGAGUAACCUGCCCUUGACUUUGGGAUAACUCCAGGAAACUGGGGCUAUUACCGGAUAGGAGCUCUUGCUGCAUGGUGGGGGUUGGAAAGUUUCGGCGGUUGGGGAUGGACUCGCGGGUUAUCAGCUUGUUGGUGGGGUAGUGGCUUACCAAGCUUUUGACGGAUAGCCGGCCUGAGAGGGUAACCGGCCACAUUGGGACUAAGAUAGGGCCCAGACUCCUACGGGAGGCAACGGUGGGGAGUAUUACACAAUGGGCGGGAGCCUGAUGCAGCGACGCCGCGUGCGGGAUAACGGCCUUCGGGUUGUAAACCGCUUUCGCCUGUGACGAAGCGUGAGUGACGGUAAUGGGUAAGGAAGCACCGGCUAACUACGUG